UACGUAGGGUGCAAGCGUUAAUCGGAGUUACUGGGCGUAAAGCGUGCGCAGGCGGCUUUGCAAGACAGAUGUGAAAUCCCCGGGCUUAACCUGGGAACUGCAUUUGUGACUGCAUGGCUGGAGUGCGGCAGAGGGGGAUGGAAUUCCGCGUGUAGCAGUGAAAUGCGUAGAUAUGCGGAGGAACACCGAUGGCGAAGGCAAUCCCCUGGACCUGUACUGACGCUCAUGCACGAAAGCGUGGGGAGCAAACAGG
rnacentral:rRNA from 1 species